rnacentral:sRNA from 1 species
GAGUCUAAGCAGAAGCUUGAGCCUCAGCCAGAGCCACCGUCGACACACUCUCCUUCCAAAUCCGUCGCCCCUUCCAGGAACCCAUUGCAAUUCUGGUUAUAUUUCACACUUUUUACCUCCCUCAUUACUCUAGUCUGCGUCAUUCUCUCUUCUUUAUCCUCCCAAGAUCCCCAGACUUGGUUCCUCAAUCUUCCACCCGAUCUUCGUCUCCACUAUUCCAGUGGUCGCAGCAUCAAGGUACAAACAGCCCCUAAUCACCCCCAAGUUGAAGUCUUUUCCAUUCAGCAGGGACCCACUAACUCGGAUAGCCAUGUUUUGAUUGUACAUGGCAUAGGCUGCAGCUCUCUUGCUUUUCGCGGAGUUGUUAAGUUUUUAGGUCUUAGAAAUGUCCACGCCAUGGCUCUUGAUCUUCCAGGCUCAGGGUUCUCGGAUAAAUCUUAUGUUGUGGUUGAAGAGAAUGUGGGCGGGAAUGGCUUUUUCGGUAGAAUGUGGGAUGUUUAUGCGGAGGUAAAGGACAAGGGCCUGUUUUGGGGAUUUGAUCAGCUUGUUGAACAAGGGUAUGUCAACUUUGAGGAGAAUGAGAUUCUUGUUUCGAAGAAAGAGAGCAUUA